rnacentral:rRNA from 2 species
GAGUUUGAUCCUGCUUCAGAUUGAACGCUGGCGGCAGGCCUAACACAUGCAAGUCGAACGGUAGCACAGAGGAGCUUGCUCCUUGGGUGACGAGUGGCGGACGGGUGAGUAAUGUCUGGGAAACUGCCCGAUGGAGAGGGAUAACUACUGGAAACGGUAGCUAAUACCGCAUAACGUCGCAAGACCAAAGAGGGGGACCUUCGGGCCUCUUGCCAUCGGAUGUGCCCAGAUGGGAUUAGCUAGUAGGUGGGGUAACGGCUCACCUAGGCGACGAUCCCUAGCUGGUCUGAGAGGAUGACCAGCCACACUGGAACUGAGACACGGUCCAGACUCCUACGGGAGGCAGCAGUGGGGAAUAUUGCACAAUGGGCGCAAGCCUGAUGCAGCCAUGCCGCGUGUAUGAAGAAGGCCUUCGGGUUGUAAAGUACUUUCAGCGAGGAGGAAGGCAUUAAGGUUAAUAACCUUAGUGAUUGACGUUACUCGCAGAAGAAGCACCGGCUAACUCCGUGCCAGCAGCCGCGGUAAUACGGAGGGUGCAAGCGUUAAUCGGAAUUACUGGGCGUAAAGCGCACGCAGGCGGUCUGUCAAGUCGGAUGUGAAAUCCCCGGGCUCAACCUGGGAACUGCAUCCGAAACUGGCAGGCUAGAGUCUUGUAGAGGGGGGUAGAAUUCCAGGUGUAGCGGUGAAAUGCGUAGAGAUCUGGAGAAAUACCGGUGGCGAAGGCGGCCCCCUGGACAAAGACUGACGCUCAGGUGCGAAAGCGUGGGGAGCAAACAGAAGUAGAUACCCUGGUAGUCCAUGCUGUAAUGAAUGUUGACUUGGAGGUUGUGCCCCUUGAGGCGUGGUUUCGGGAGCUAACGGCUUAAGUCGACGGCGUGGGGAGGUACGGCCGCAAGAGUUAAAAUUCAAAUGAAUUGACGGGGACCCGCACAAAGCGGUGGAGCAUGUGGUUUAAUUCGAUGCAACGCGAAGAACCUUACUUACUCUUGACAUCCAGAGAACUUAGCAGAGAUGCUUUGGUGCCUUCGGGAACUCUGAGACAGGUGCUGCAUGGCUGUUGUCAGCUCGUGUUGUGAAAUGUUGGGUUAAGUCCCGCAACGAGCGCAACCCUUAUCCUUUGUUGCCAGCGAUUCGGUCGGGAACUCAAAGGAGACUGCCAGUGAUAAACCGGAGGAAGGUGGGGAUGACGUCAAGUCAUCAUGGCCCUUACGAGCAGGGCUACACACGUGCUACAAUGGCAUAUACAAAGAGAAGCGACCUCGCGAGAGCAAGCGGACCUCAUAAAGUAUGUCGUAGUCCGGAUUGGAGUCUGCAACUCGACUCCAUGAAGUCGGAAUCGCUAGUAAUCGUGGAUCAGAAUGCCACGGUGAAUACGUUCCCGGGCCUUGUACACACCGCCCGUCACACCAUGGGAGUGGGUUGCAAAAGAAGUAGGUAGCUUAACCUUAGGGAGGGCGCUUACCACUUUGUGAUUCAUGACUGGGGU